rnacentral:lncRNA from 1 species
CCCCAGCCAGCUUGAAGACCCUGCACUCCUGCAGCUGGCAGGGGCAGUCACUCCUGGACUUGUCCUUUUAGAAGCUCCAGCUUUACCACUUGCUGGUGGAGCCCAACCACUGCCGCAGGGUCCUCAUCACCAACACGCCUGGCAGAUCCAAGAGGAGAUGGCCCAGGAUGGGAUGUGGUGAACAGCAGCACCCAAGAGUGUGGGGUGCGUGUGGCUCCACUGCCUGGUUUCUGCAGAGAUCCUGUGCCAGUGCCCUGUGCCCGCCACACAGGAGCCAGAGGGGGAGCACCAUGCCCCCCACUUCGGAGACUGCUGCACGAAGGGGCCAGGUAUCAGACCUUUGCUGUCUCACCUCAGCACUGGCACCAGGAGCCCUGCAAAGCAGCAUCUGGGAGAUGGACAGCCAGGGGGAAAAUAAAGGAAGCUUUCAGAAGUGGCUAGAUGAGAUAUUUGAAAUACUGAAAACUAAAAAUCCCAACUGCAUGGAAGAGCUGGCCUCAGAUGUGGUCAGUUCUUACGACAACCUGGACACACAGUGCUGACCCGCAUGAUGGGAUGCACCAAGCUGGGCCCCUGCAACGCACUUGGAGGCUUGGCCCUGCCGCCGCCCCACCUCCCAGCUCCAGCUACAAUUGCAGUCUGACCUGGGCAAGCAAGAGCACAUGGUGGAGAUCCUGAUGGAGACCUGA